CAGCCGCCACGGUAAUACGAAGGGUGCAAGCGUUACUCGGAAUUACUGGGCGUAAAACGUGCGUAGGUGGUGGUUUAAGUCCGUUGUGAAAGCCCUGGGCUCAACCUGGGAAUUGCAGUGGAUACUGGGUCACUAGAGUGUGGUGGAGGAUAGUGGAAUUUCCGGUGUAGCAGUGAAAUGCGUAGAGAUCGGAAGGAACAUCUGUGGCGAAGGCGACUAUCUGGGCCAACACUGACACUGAGGCACGAAAGCGUGGGGAGCAAACAGGAUUAGAUACCCCCGUAGUCCCUGUCUCUUAUAC
rnacentral:rRNA from 1 species